UCAGUGCCGAAGCUAACGCAUUAAGCACUCCGCCUGGGGAGUACGGUCGCAAGACUGAAACUCAAAGGAAUUGACGGGGGCCCGCACAAGCAGUGGAGCAUGUGGUUUAAUUCGAAGCAACGCGAAGAACCUUACCAGGACUUGACAUCCCGCUGACCGGUUUAGAGAUAAGCCUUCCCUUCGGGGCAGCGGUGACAGGUGGUGCAUGGUUGUCGUCAGCUCGUGUCGUGAGAUGUUGGGUUAAGUCCCGCAACGAGCGCAACCCUUACAUUGUGUUGCCAUCAUUCAGUUGGGCACUCACAAUGGACUGCCGGUGACAAACCGGAGGAAGGUGGGGAUGACGUCAAAUCAUCAUGCCCCUUAUGUCCUGGGCUACACACGUGCUACAAUGGGCGGUACAAAGGGAUGCGAGACCGUGAGGUGGAGCUAAUCUCAUAAAGCCGUUCGUAGUUCGGAUUGCAGCCUGCAACUCGCCUGCAUGAAGCCGGAAUUGCUAGUAAUCGCGGAUCAGCAUGCCGCGGUGAAUUCGUUCCCGGGCCUUGUACACACCGCCCGUCACACCAUGGGAGUUGGCAACACCCGAAGUCGGUGAGGUAACCUUUAUGGAGCCAGCCGCCUAAGGUGGGGUCGAUGAAUGGGGUGAAGUCGUAACAAGGUA
rnacentral:rRNA from 1 species